GGAUUUAUAGCUCAGUGGUAGAGUGCCCUGGGUUCUAACCCCAGUAUCAUUAAAAAAAAAUUAAAUAAAAUCU
rnacentral:tRNA from 1 species